CAUUCAUUAUCGCUGCCCUAGCA
rnacentral:piRNA from 1 species